AGAAAGCAGUCCAGGGGUUUAGUCAGAUUGCUUCUUCUCACCGAGCAGCGUCAUACACCAUGUAAAAUGUGCCUCCUUCGUCUUCUCAUUCUGCCAUGAUUGUAAGUUUCCUGAGGUCUCCCCAGCCACGCUUCCUGAACAGCCUGCGGAACGUUAAUCGCCAGACAAUCCAGAUGAUGCUCCUGCUACAAUGACGCAAUGAUACCAACCCGUCUCUCAAGAACGCCCCCAAAAAUUAAAGUUUUCUUUUUCCAAGGUGCCCAUGCCACCCCCUGUGUCACGCCUGAAGUAGUUAUUGAGCCCAGUCCCAAGGCACAAGACCACUUGUGCCAGCAGCCAGCAGCGUGCAUCAGCAAGACAGCAGAAGCAGGAAGACAGCCUGCUGGAAGACACUUACCCUGGCCGGAAGACAUGUACCCCUGAAGAUGGAGAAAGAGGCCUUCCGGGUACUACGUAGCAGUCACGUCAGACCGGGACACUUCCUGUUUAGAGAGGACUAUAAAACUCCGGUCCGGUAAUCACUUGGGGCUGACGCCAUUUUAGGCCUCAUCCCGCCUGCACCCAGGCACUCAUUAAAACAGCGUGUUGCCCCACACUGCCUCGUGUUGUCUGUUGGUGCGCUCUCGGGGUUCAAACCGAUACAAGAACCUUUCAAAUGGUAGUAAGAUUAAAGGUUUUUACUAAGUUAUUAAUAACAAAAAAGGCACAGAUCUUAAAUGUGCAGUUAUGAAUUUUGGCAAUUGUAUACAUUCAUGUAAUCACUACCCACAACAAAAAUAGAAUGUUUCCACCACCACAAAAAGUUUGCAACACCCCUGUACCUCUUUCUAGUGCAUUUCCAAUCAUGUCCUCAUACCUACCUACCCCACAACCAUUUUUUAAUCUCUUCCAGAGCUAACGCUUAAUACAUUGAAUUUUACAUAAUCUUAGGAUAGACUGUCCCACAUAAAGGAGACUAUCUGCAAUAAUUUAUGUUGGAAGAAUAAGAUAUUGAUGUCAAUUAAUACAUUUUGUGUCCUGGUUUAAAAAUGCUCCUACUAUUAAUUAAAAUUUUAAAGACAUUUUCUUGUGAAAGUAUAAAGGGAUACUUUUUUCUAUUUUGAACAUUAUGAGUUCAAAAGUUCAUUCUGAUAGAAAAUUUUAUUUUGUGUGUUUCAACUAUGUAUGGAUGGAAAUAAAACUAGGAAGAAAUAUAGAUAAUUCUUUAUACUUCUUUGCAUUUUCCAAAUUUUAUGCUACAACCAUGUAUUGCUUUUAUUGGUACAAUAAAGCAAUAUCAUCAGUGUAAAAUGUACUUAUUUUUUCAUAAUUAUGUUAAGUCUCUUUAUAUUUAUUUUGAUCAAAGUGUCUUAGAGAUGUGUUUUCAAUUAAGAAGUCCCAGGGUCUCCAAGCUCACUGGCACUGUCCUGUUUUUCCUCACACAAAUACUAACUGCUAUGGACAAUGACACAGUUCUGGGAAAAACCCAUGAGAGAUCAUUAGAGAUAAGAGAGAAUAUUCACCAUGUUUGUUUCACUCCCAGGAACAAGCAAAGUUUUGUUUCUCAAGGUUUUAUUUUUAUUUUUUUGAGACAGAGUCUUGCUCUGUCAUCUAGGCUGGAGCAAUUCUUCUGCCUCAGCCUCCCAAGUAGCUGUGAUUACAGGCGCCAGCCACCAC
rnacentral:lncRNA from 1 species